rnacentral:rRNA from 1 species
GAUGAACGCUGGCGGCGUGCCUAAUACUGCAAGUCGCGCGAACAGACGAGGAGCUUGCUCCUCUGACGUUAGCGGCGGACGGGUGAGUAACACGUGGAUAACCUACCUAUAAGACUGGGAUAACUUCGGGAAACCGGAGCUAAUACCGGAUAAUAUAUUGAACCGCAUGGUUCAAUAGUGAAAGACGGUUUUGCUGUCACUUAUAGAUGGAUCCGCGCCGCAUUAGCUAGUUGGUAAGGUAACGGCUUACCAAGGCGACGAUGCGUAGCCGAACUGAGAGGGUGAUCGGCCACACUGGAACUGAGACACGGUCCAGACUCCUACGGGAGGCAGCAGUAGGGAAUCUUCCGCAAUGGGCGAAAGCCUGACGGAGCAACGCCGCGUGAGUGAUGAAGGUCUUCGGAUCGUAAAACUCUGUUAUUAGGGAAGAACAAAUGUGUAAGUAACUAUGCACGUCUUGACGGUACCUAAUCAGAAAGCCACGGCUAACUACGUG